CCUGGCUCAUAAAAUCUUCCUCCAUGUGACCUCCCUCUGCUGUUUCCUCAGCCUGCCAGCUCUGGGAGUCAACACCCAGGGUGAUCCCACAGGGCUACCUGUUGAAACUGGCAGAGCCAUCAGUAUCCUGGGUCCCUGAAUUAACAAGUGGAGCAGAGCUCCUCCUCCAUCUCCACCCUCUGCUGGCCUGAUGCUGCAUUGCAUCUUCAGAGGAACAAGGAGUCGCUGAAGUCUAUAAAUGGGAGUUACUGACCGAAUACUCCUUUCCUGAGGUAUUUCACCAAAUCCUCACUGCAACUUGGUGAGGCCAGCGGUGCCCCUUCUUUGAGCCCUCGUUACUUCAGCUUUGAGAGAGAGGACUCCAGCAGGCUGGUGGCAGUGACUCCAUGAGAUGCACGCCUGCUCAGCUGUUGAUGCAUGGUGAGAACUCAGCUUGGACUAGCUCAUAUUUUUUCAGAACAAUGGUAGGAAGUGUCCAGAGAACUCCAAAGUCACAGAGGCUCAGAAGUCAGGUCUCCUUACUCUUGGUGUGACGCCCCCUGCCCUGGCCAGACUGCCUUCAUUGUGGAUGCUUAUUGCAAUCAAAAGGGAAGGCAAGU